AGCGAACGCUGGCGGUAGGCCUAACACAUGCAAGUCGAACGGCAGCACAGUAAGAGCUUGCUCUUACGGGUGGCGAGUGGCGGACGGGUGAGGAAUACAUCGGAAUCUACUUUUUCGUGGGGGAUAACGUAGGGAAACUUACGCUAAUACCGCAUACGACCUACGGGUGAAAGCAGGGGAUCUUCGGACCUUGCGCGAUUGAAUGAGCCGAUGUCGGAUUAGCUAGUUGGCGGGGUAAAGGCCCACCAAGGCGACGAUCCGUAGCUGGUCUGAGAGGAUGAUCAGCCACACUGGGACUGAGACACGGUCCAGACUCCUACGGGAGGCAGCAGUGGGGAAUAUUGGACAAUGGGCGCAAGCCUGAUCCAGCCAUACCGCGUGGGUGAAGAAGGCCUUCGGGUUGUAAAGCCCUUUUGUUGGGAAAGAAAAGCAGCAGGUUAAUACCCCGCUGUUCUGACGGUACCCAAAGAAUAAGCACCGGCUAACUUCGUG
rnacentral:rRNA from 1 species